rnacentral:rRNA from 1 species
UGCAAGUCGAACGGUGAAGCCCUUCGGGGUGGAUCAGUGGCGAACGGGUGAGUAACACGUGGGCAAUCUGCCCUGCACUCUGGGACAAGCCCUGGAAACGGGGUCUAAUACCGGAUAUGACCUUCCUCCGCAUGGGGGUUGGUGGAAAGCUCCGGCGGUGCAGGAUGAGCCCGCGGCCUAUCAGCUUGUUGGUGGGGUAAUGGCCUACCAAGGCGACGACGGGUAGCCGGCCUGAGAGGGCGACCGGCCACACUGGGACUGAGACACGGCCCAGACUCCUACGGGAGGCAGCAGUGGGGAAUAUUGCACAAUGGGCGCAAGCCUGAUGCAGCGACGCCGCGUGAGGGAUGACGGCCUUCGGGUUGUAAACCUCUUUCAGCAGGGAAGAAGCGCAAGUGACGGUACCUGCAGAAGAAGCACCGGCUAACUACGUGCCAGCAGCCGCGGUAAUACGUAGGGUGCGAGCGUUGUCCGGAAUUAUUGGGCGUAAAGAGCUCGUAGGCGGCCUGUCGCGUCGGAUGUGAAAGCCCGGGGCUUAACCCCGGGUCUGCAUUCGAUACGGGCAGGCUAGAGUGUGGUAGGGGAGAUCGGAAUUCCUGGUGUAGCGGUGAAAUGCGCAGAUAUCAGGA